AGUUAGAAAAUUGAUGGGAGGAGUGUCUUCAUGCAGGCGACAGUUAAUAGAUCGAAGGGGAAUCGAACUGAUAUAUCAAAAGCUGAACUCAUUCAAAGAAGUUCGUAUUGUCGGGUUUCAGGUCGCGACAUGGAUCUUCUUGAACUUUCUGCCUACGGCAAUGUCCGUCAUGGACAAGAUUCUGGGGGAUGUAAAAUUCAAUGAGUCAUUUUACGACAAUAUACUCAAGAAUGACAUUGUAUGCUUCCCCUUAAUUAUCAGUAUGACAAUAGUUAUUCCUCUAUUAAAUUUGUAGCUUACAAUUAUUGGAAGUUUCAUAUGCUUGUAUGCAUGAUUUUCUUGGGCAAUAGUAAUAGAGUUACAUCAUAAA